CAAAAAUCAUGAACUCCUUCAGGACUGGUCAGAGCGCUUUUAACGACAACAUACAGGGCAAAUAUCCUGAUUUCUGGCACCACACUGGCUUGUGUACCGGUGUCUAACUUAAAAUUGUGAUCACUACAUGGUGUCAGUAAACUUGAAAGAAUUUGAGGACCAAAGUGGAAAAGAAAUUGGAAACUGAGAGCACGUGGAACAAUACAGCCGUGUAGAAGGACAAAGGCAACUCUAAGUGAUCUGCCUGCACAGUUAUAGUCGAAGUAAACAGAAGCUUUGUAACCUCUACUUGCCCUUCUACUAUCAGUGUUUGCCCUGAGAUAACAAGACCACAGAAAACUAACAAAUUCCAAGCUGCCAAGACAGUGAUGCAAUAAACCAGCCUUCUACUGCCCCACCUUUGCUUUGCCACUUUCUUACUUGCACAGCUUAGGCUCAGAGGGUGUUGUACUGCAGAUCAUUCUUUCAGGGUGGAAGAGGAUUUAACUCUGGACCAGUCAGAUGAUACAAGAGUUCUCUUCUCAACACAUCAGUAGUGAUGGGCCAUGACACUUCAGAAGCCUAGUAAUGAAUUUGACAGUCUGCACAUCCCUCGUAGCAAACUAAUUCACCCAAGGGAUGUGUUUCUAUUGUGUUCCUUCCAAUGCUUGCCACAGACUCUCUAUCUAAGGAGCAAAGGAACUGUUAGUCAUACUGCAAAAAAGGGAAACUCCGGUACAAUCAAGUGAAAAAUGCAGCCAUCAAGUCCACAUUUUUUGAGGAUCCUCCUGAGAAACAGAAAAGCUAAGCAGUUGAUUUUAACACCUGCAGCGAACAAUAUCCUUGGAAUCAUGAGUACGUCAUUAUGUAAUCAGCAUGAGCAAGACACAGAGGCGAAACUGGGAACACCCAAACAGGCUGCAAACAGUCAGAUGAAGGGGACACAGAGUGCUGGUAUGGAUGUGUUACAAAGUGUACAAAGUUACUUACAAUCAAAAGAUAAAAAUAUUAUGCCUUUUAAGCUCUUUCCUCUUCCAAUAGAGUGGAAUACAACUUUAGCUAUACUACUGCACAAAGAUGGAAACACAUGUUCCAGUCUUCUCCUGGAAUGGUUUAAGGCUCUUUUUUGAAUACUGUUCGUGGAUUAUUCAUAAUUUGCUCUUCAUCAUUCUUGAUUUGCACUUCAUCAUUCAUUAUUCUCCUGUUUCAAAGAUUUCAAUCAUUUGGACAGAGAAUUGGAAAAAUCUUAGGAGAAUUAAGUCACGAAUUACAUACCCCAAAUAAUGAAUGGCCAGGUCUCAAACUGAUUAUUUUCUGAAAGCCCAUGUGUUGAUAUUCAUUUACGUAAGUUAUUUGGAAGAUACUUAAGAAUUACAGAUGUUUGUAGUAAUCAGAAUUGAUGAUAAAUAUAAAGAAGACUUCUUUACAACAAAAAUUGAUCUGGCUCUAAUAACAAUAACAACUAGCAUCAAGAAUUGGAAAAAUAUA